rnacentral:rRNA from 1 species
AUUGAACGCUGGCGGCAGGCCUAACACAUGCAAGUCGAGCGGUAGAGAGAAGCUUGCUUCUCUUGAGAGCGGCGGACGGGUGAGUAAUGCCUAGGAAUCUGCCUGGUAGUGGGGGAUAACGUUCGGAGACGGACGCUAAUACCGCAUACGUCCUACGGGAGAAAGCAGGGGACCCUCGGGCCUUGCGCUAUCAGAUGAGCCUAGGUCGGAUUAGCUAGUUGGUGGGGUAAUGGCUCACCAAGGCGACGAUCCGUAACUGGUCUGAGAGGAUGAUCAGUCACACUGGAACUGAGACACGGUCCAGACUCCUACGGGAGGCAGCAGUGGGGAAUAUUGGACAAUGGGCGAAAGCCUGAUCCAGCCAUGCCGCGUGUGUGAAGAAGGUCUUCGGAUUGUAAAGCACUUUAAGUUGGGAGGAAGGGCAGUAAAUUAAUACUUUGCUGUUUUGACGUUACCGACAGAAUAAGCACCGGCUAACUCUGUG